GAAGUGUAUUUAUUGUUCCUUUUGUUGAUCUAGCAUCCAUCAUAUUGACAAAUCUUACUUGAGCGUGCUUAUAGAUUAUAUCAAUGGUGUGAAUUGCCCACGGAACAAGUUGAUAAGCGAUUGCGCUAGAUAGGGAAGCUGAUUUCCCAAAUUGGAACAGCGCCAGGCUGCCUUCAGGCUCAAGAGUCAAGACUCACACUACCAUUCAGAAAUAUCCAUUAAUGGAAUUCUUGGUACGCAUUGUCAAAGAAAGACAACCCUACUUUAAGUGAAUCAUUCAUACCGACCCUCCACAUGACGUUGAUAGCGAUAAAGCAGAGUUCAUCUGACUUAUCUCGCGAUACGCUGUUAUCGUCGAUACUACGAUUACGUAGCCAAUCUCUUCUGUAACGUCCUCGGUGGACCCGUGCCAACAGUCGGAUGGGGUAAUACGUAGUGUGUUCACUGCACCAUAAGAAAAUAAACUAAACAUAU
rnacentral:lncRNA from 1 species